rnacentral:rRNA from 1 species
AUUGAACGCUGGCGGCAUGCCUUACACAUGCAAGUCGAACGGUAACAGGUCUUCGGAUGCUGACGAGUGGCGAACGGGUGAGUAAUACAUCGGAACGUGCCCGAUCGUGGGGGAUAACGAAGCGAAAGCUUUGCUAAUACCGCAUACGAUCUACGGAUGAAAGCAGGGGACCGCAAGGCCUUGCGCGAACGGAGCGACCGAUGGCAGAUUAGGUAGUUGGUGGGAUAAAAGCUUACCAAGCCGACGAUCUGUAGCUGGUCUGAGAGGACGACCAGCCACACUGGGACUGAGACACGGCCCAGACUCCUACGGGAGGCAGCAGUGGGGAAUUUUGGACAAUGGGCGAAAGCCUGAUCCAGCCAUGCCGCGUGCAGGAUGAAGGCCUUCGGGUUGUAAACUGCUUUUGUACGGAACGAAAAGACUCUGGUUAAUACCUGGGUCCAUGACGGUACCGUAAGAAUAAGCACCGGCUAACUACGUGCCAGCCGCCGCAGUAA